rnacentral:rRNA from 1 species
GACGAACGAGGGGGGAGGGGGGAACACAUGCAAGUCGAACGGAAAGGCCCUGCUUUUGUGGGGUGCUCGAGUGGCGAACGGGUGAGUAACACGUGAGUAACCUGCCCUUGACUUUGGGAUAACUUCAGGAAACUGGGGCUAAUACCGGAUAGGAGCUCCUGCUGCAUGGUGGGGGUUGGAAAGUUUCGGCGGUUGGGGAUGGACUCGCGGCUUAUCAGCUUGUUGGUGGGGUAGUGGCUUACCAAGGCUUUGACGGGUAGCCGGCCUGAGAGGGUGACCGGCCACAUUGGGACUGAGAUACGGCCCAGACUCCUACGGGAGGCAGCAGUGGGGAAUAUUGCACAAUGGGCGGAAGCCUGAUGCAGCAACGCCGCGUGCGGGAUGACGGCCUUCGGGUUGUAAACCGCUUUCGCCUGUGACGAAGCGUGAGUGACGGUAAUGGGUAAAGAAGCACCGGCUAACUACGUG